AGCCUUGCUGAACUCCGGAAAAGGGUCUAGGUUGGAUUCUGUAAAGUUUGCCAUUGACUUCCAUAUGCGUAAUUCAACAAGGGGGAUUUAUCAUAUUAUAACGAUUCACACUGCAGUGGUAGAUGGAUGUCACCAUGGGCUCCGAACCAGUGACCUUGAAAACUCAUGAGUGAUCAUGGGGAUGAAUUCAUGGAGGGUAGGUCUUUUGAGGCUAUUAGCAACGAGCUGUGAAUGAAGCUGAUAUGUUCAGAGGCAGUAUAUGUCUGGAUUUUGAAUCAUGGGGAAGGAAAACAGUAAUGCUUUCAUCUUCAUGCCCUGUUUCUGUGUGACCAGAGUGAUCUAUUUGGAUGUUGCUGGCCUCAGAAGGGAUGCAGAUGUGUGUGUGUGUUAUCCUAUAUACCCCUGGAUAAAAGUGAUAGCACCCUUUCCUCUGUGACAGCAGGGACAAUGUUCAGCAACUACCUCCAGUACCCAAUUCUCGAGUUAGCAAGGUAUCUUGUUACAAAUUUUAAGAUAAAAGGUUGUAGAUCCAUUUAAAUUAAUGGACACAACUCAAUUAUAGCCAUUCAUUUCAAUAGGUCUGCUCCCAGUAGAACCCAAUCUUUGGCCCUUCUGGAAUUGCUAAGAAUGGCUAUGGACAAUGGCACCAAUUCAUCUCCAGAUGAGGAACAGAAUAUAUUUUAUGAAUGGAGCAACAGUCUCCCCAAUUAAGAUUCCCAGCAGCUGGUAUUCAGAGGCACACCAACUCCCAACAGCGGAAGUAGUACACAGCUAUUGUGGCUACGUACUAUACUUUGCAAUACAUCUUCUGCUCUCCUGUCUGUUGCCAGAAUGUUUAUCUUUUAUUUAACAAAAUGUGCACGCCUCCUAACUGUAAAUAAAAACUGCUAAGCAGUUUACAAGGGAUGUAAAAUAGACAUUCAAAUUGUUGAGUUAAAAAUAAUCAACAUUAAAAACAAGUUUUUGAAAAUGCAAAAUGAAUAAAAUUGGCAGAUAAAUGUAUACAUUAUAAGCUAAAAUUACAAAUUAAAACGCACAGCAACUUUACAUGUCUAGGUAGGCUUGUUUAAACAGAAACAUUUUAAGCAGGUGCCAGAAAGGGUACAGUGAAAGCAGUGUAGAAGGGCAGGCAGUUUUACAGCAUAGGAGAUCCUGUGUUAAGAGAUCAUUUCCUUACAAAUGUGGAACAAAUAUUAUGUGUAGUGGCGCCCUCCCUGUGGAACGCCCUCCUAUCAGAUGUCAAAGCGAUAAACAUUUACCUGACAUUCAGAAGACAUAUUAAGGCAGCCCUGUUCAGGGAAGUUUUUAAUGUGUGAUUUUAGUGUAUUUUUUGUUUCUGUGGAAGCCGCCCAGAGUGGCUGGGGAAACCCAGCCAGAUGGGCGGGGUACAAAUAAUAAAUUAAAAUUAUUAUUAUUAUAUGUGGCCCUUGUAGCACUCUGAGUUCUGCAGAUCAAAGCCAUCAGGCAUAUAUGGGGUAAGGUAAGCCUUCUAGUAAACUGGUCCCAAGCUGCUAUAUACUCAUAGUAAGACCUUGAACGCCACCCAGUAAGAAAUUGGCAAAUUUUGAGGGGAACUAUUGGUUUGGCCCACACCAGUGAUUAUUAAAUUCUUACCACCUCUGAAUUGUUCAGCUUUGUCCCUGGGCAAGAAAUGCUAUUUAGAUCUCUUUAUACAAGGGGGGGGGGGGCAUAGAAGAGAAGGUUUUUCAACAUUUAACAAUUUUGGUUUUUUCCCUUGGAGUCUCAGAUAACACUCUUUGUGAUAACCCAGCUGCCUCUGGAAGGCCCUUAUCUAAAUAGACUUUGUAGAACAUCAUUUUAAAAAGUCACAUUAAAGGUUAUUUAUUACUCCCUUAGAAAUGAAUCUUUCUAGCAUUUCUUCUUCUUCUCUUUGCUCUUCAUUUCAGCCACAUGAUAAAAGCUAAAACCAACUUCAGCAAUCCAAUAGGUAGAACAGGAGGAGAUGUAAGGGACUUGCAAAUAGCAUAAAUUUGAUUUUCUCCACAGAUCAUACUAUAGUUGCUAUAAAAAAUUAACAGUUGAAGACAAUUCUGUGGAUCCGGUGGAAACUGGAUUUGAACUAUAGGAUCACAAUGCCUCAAGGACUGCAUCCACCUGUGUGAACCGACCCAGACCCUGCAAUCAUUAUCUGAGGCCCUUCUUCAUGUGCCCCCUCCAUGAGAGGUCAGGAGGGUAGCAGUAUGUGAACAGGCCUUUUCUGAAGUGGCUCAGGAAGUGCAAGUGCAUGAAACCUGCUGCAAGGAACACAUGAUACAACAUUCACUUGCUUGCCCUUUCCGUUUGAAGUAAUUACUUAUACAUUUGAAUCUAUGCCUAUUAUUUAUUUUAAAAAUUUCUAUACUGCUGCCACCUUGGGCUCCAUUGAAAGGAAUGAUGGGGUAUACAUUGAAAUCAUCACCACAUCUACUUCUUCAUCAUCCAUGUUGCUCCUGGUCUAUCAAAAGAAAAACAGGAAAUAGGGUUUCAAUCUGCCUCAGAUAGGAUUACAUUUCUCUUGAAGACAUGCAUUUUCAAUUCAUCUCUCCUCCUGGAUUCAAUCCUGAAUAUGGAUGCCCAGGUUUUCACAGUGGCCAAAAGCACUUUUGCACAGCGGUAAAAUGUGAGACCUGGCCACAGAUGUAUUGUGAAUGUAAUGUUAUCCUGUGUG
rnacentral:lncRNA from 1 species